CGUAUUUCUCGCUCAGUUCCUCGUUAUAAUCUGCGGCAGACGUCACAUUAUUCAGUGCUCAAGAUCAAAAAACAUUGUAUCGCAAUGAGAUUCAUGAGAUUAUAUUGGUCACUGUUGGCAAUGAUUCUGUUACUCAUGGGAGUCGCAAACGCAAUAGAUGUAAGCGAUGAUGUACGACCUACCGUCGUUCACAAACAAAUAAUACGAGUUCCGAACAGAUGCCCUACAGGAAAAACUUUCGUGGCGGGACAUUGUAGACAAUCUAUAAAUCCUGACAAAUAACAAAUAUCGACAAAAGAGUCAGAUAUGUGAUAGAAAAAAAAAAAGAGAAAAAGCAAAAGUUAAUAGUAAGUAAAAUAUGUUAAUUAUGAUUAUUAAAAAUUAAUAUCUUUGUAUGUUUGUUUUGUAUUUUGUCACAAAUAUAUGAGUUGUAAUGUGUGUAUCGAGAUGUAACUGUGUCGACAAGAUUAUCGCUUGUCUUUUGUAAAAAGUGAAAAACUCGCACACAAAUGCAGAUACGUUGUAACGAAAAUCUGUUGCUUAAAAAUCGAUUGUAUUCGUUUU